rnacentral:rRNA from 1 species
UCUCCUGGAAACGGGUGGUAAUGCCGGAUGCUCCGACAUGACGCAUGUCGUGUCGGGAAAGAUUCUAUCGGUAUGGGAUGGGGUCGCGUCCUAUCAGCUUGAUGGCGGGGUAACGGCCCACCAUGGCUUCGACGGGUAGCCGGCCUGAGAGGGCGACCGGCCACAUUGGGACUGAGAUACGGCCCAGACUCCUACGGGAGGCAGCAGUGGGGAAUAUUGCACAAUGGGCGCAAGCCUGAUGCAGCGACGCCGCGUGCGGGAUGACGGCCUUCGGGUUGUAAACCGCUUUUGACUGGGAGCAAGCCCUUCGGGGUGAGUGUACCUUUCGAAUAAGCACCGGCUAACUACGUGCCAGCAGCCGCGGUAAUACGUAGGGUGCAAGCGUUAUCCGGAAUUAUUGGGCGUAAAGGGCUCGUAGGCGGUUCGUCGCGUCCGGUGUGAAAGUCCAUCGCUUAACGGUGGAUCCGCGCCGGGUACGGGCGGGCUUGAGUGCGGUAGGGGAGACUGGAAUUCCCGGUGUAACGGUGGAAUGUGUAGAUAUCGGAAAGAACACCACCC